rnacentral:rRNA from 1 species
UACGGGGGGAGCAAGCGUUGUUCGGAUUUACUGGGCGUAAAGGGCGCGUAGGCGGCCAGCACAAGUCAGUUGUGAAAUCUCCGAGCUUAACUCGGAAAGGUCAACUGAUACUGUGCGGCUAGAGUGCGGAAGGGGCAACUGGAAUUCUUGGUGUAGCGGUGAAAUGCGUAGAUAUCAAGAGGAACACCUGCGGCGAAGGCGGGUUGCUGGGCCGACACUGACGCUGAGAAGCGAAAGCAUGGGGAGCGAACAGG